UGGGGAAUAUUGGACAAUGGGCGAAAGCCUGAUCCAGCCAUGCCGCGUGUGUGAAGAAGGUCUUCGGAUUGUAAAGCACUUUAAGUUGGGAGGAAGGGCAGUAAGCGAAUACCUUGCUGUUUUGACGUUACCGACAGAAUAAGCACCGGCUAACUCUGUGCCAGCAGCCGCGGUAAUACAGAGGGUGCAAGCGUUAAUCGGAAUUACUGGGCGUAAAGCGCGCGUAGGUGGUUCGUUAAGUUGAAUGUGAAAGCCCCGGGCUCAACCUGGGAACGGCAUCCAAAACUGGCGAGCUAGAGUAGGGCAGAGGGUGGUGGAAUUUCCUGUGUAGCGGUGAAAUGCGUAGAUAUAGGAAGGAACACCAGUGGCGAAGGCGACCACCUGGGCUCAUACUGACACUGGGGUGCGAAAGCGUGGGGAGCAAACAGG
rnacentral:rRNA from 1 species